UUGAGGCCUUGAUUUGUACACAAAACUGGCUAAUGGAAGAAUCUAGACUUUUGAGAGUUUCCGAAGAUAGAAUUUGCAUUGAAGAGACAGAGUUCUAUGAGAGCAUUGAGACAGGUAAUAAAAUAUAUAUUUUUUUUCUUAUUAAAUCUUAUUAGUUGAAAAUUUUUUAGUUCAUUUAUGUUUGUUAAUUGUGUUUUUUCAAUUUUUUCUGUAGAGUUUCUUCGUAUGGCAACUCAAGAAAUUGAUGAUUAAUCAAAUAGCUGGUAAGUAUUAGUAAUACUUAAAAAUAUUUUAUUUCUAUGACUUUUAAUUCAUAUUUAAUUGUUUUAUGUAGACUUGAUUUUGAAGGCUUGAAGGCUGAAGCAAGGGAAUUAUUGAUAUGAAUUGCCGAUAUUUUAAUACUAGUAUUUACUUUUUGGUAUAUGUAUACAUUGGUAAAUUAAUGUUACUGGACAACUUGUUACUUAUAUGUUUUU
rnacentral:lncRNA from 1 species